rnacentral:tRNA from 1 species
AAGACACUAGUAAAACCGACUAUUACAUCGCCUUGUCGAGGCGUAAUUGCGGGUUUGAAUCCCGCGUAUCUUA